rnacentral:rRNA from 1 species
UACGAAGGGUGCAAGCGUUAAUCGGAAUUACUGGGCGUAAAGGGUGCGUAGGCGGUUGUUUAAGUCUGUCGUGAAAUCCCCGGGCUCAACCUGGGAAUGGCGAUGGAAACUGGGCAGCUAGAGUGUGUCAGAGGAUGGUGGAAUUCCCGGUGUAGCCGUGAAAUGCGUAGAGAUCGGGAGGAACAUCAGUGGCGAAGGCGGCCAUCUGGGACAACACUGACGCUGAAGCACGAAAGCGUGGGGAGCAAACAGG